rnacentral:rRNA from 1 species
CUCCAGACUCCUACGGGAGGCAGCAGUGAGGAAUAUUGGUCAAUGGCCGCAGGGCCGAACCAGCCAAGUCGCGUGAGGGAUGACGGUCCUAUGGAUUGUAAACCUCUUUUGUCAGGGAGCAAAGGGCGCCACGUGUGGCGUUUUGCGAGUACCUGAAGAAAAAGCAUCGGCUAACUCCGUGCCAGCAGCCGCGGUAAUACGGAGGAUGCGAGCGUUAUCCGGAUUUAUUGGGUUUAAAGGGUGCGCAGGCGGAGGUGCAAGUCAGUGGUCAAAUUGCGGGGCUCAACCCCGUACUGCCGUUGAAACUGCAUCCCUUGAGUGCGCGAGAAGUAUGCGGAAUGCGUGGUGUAGCGGUGAAAUGCAUAGAUAUCACGCAGAACUCCGAUUGCGAAGGCAGCAUACUAAACUGCCACUGACAUUGAUGCUCGAAAGUGUGGGUAUCAAACAGGAUUAGAUACCCGAGUA